UCGGAUGUGGUGCAUGGUGCACGCUUGCUCGCAGUAUGAUGAUAUUUAGGUGAUGCGGAAGACCUGGGUUCGAUUCCCAGUGUCCGAG